rnacentral:rRNA from 1 species
GAUGAACGCUAGCGGCAGGCUUAAUACAUGCAAGUCGAGGGGCAGCAGGUUUGUAGCAAUACAAAUGCUGGCGACCGGCAAACGGGUGCGGAACACGUACGCAACCUUCCUUUAACUGGAAGAUAGCCCACCGAAAGGUGGAUUAAUACUCCAUAAUAUAACUGAAUGGCAUCAUUUAGAUAUUAAAGCUCCGGCGGUUAAAGAUGGGCGUGCGUCUGAUUAGGUAGUUGGCGGGGUAACGGCCCACCAAGCCUGCGAUCAGUAGCUGAUGUGAGAGCAUGAUCAGCCCCACGGGCACGGAGACACGGGCCCGACUCCUACGGGAGGCAGCAGUAAGGAAUAUUGGUCAAUGGACGCAAGUCUGAACCAGCCAUGCCGCGUGGAGGAUGAAGGCCCUCUGGGUUGUAAACUUCUUUUCUUUGGGACGAAACCCCUGUUUCUACGGGGACUGACGGUACCAGAGGAAUAAGCACCGGCUAACUCCGUGCCAGCAGCCGCCGUAAUAC